CUUUUUUUCAGCUAUAUUUGAGUAGAAGUAACUCCUUUUUCUGCCACAGAGUUACUUCUAAAAAAUAUGUUAUUUAGAUGAGUGCUCAAUACACACCUUUGCUCCCUGAGCAAAAGCAGGAGCAAGACCACAGCUGUUGCAGGGCUGAAUUUCCUCCUUACCUGAAGACAAUGACUAACAUAUUGUGUUCUGCAGAGCACCUGGGAAGAAAACCAAACUGAUAAAUCCCUUUCCAAAGUAGUAGCAGUGAGAGCAAUGGUCAGGUCACUCAUCCCACCACCAGGAAGAUGCUCCCAGCCAGGCACAGUGCGUGUCCGAGGAGGGAGAGCUCUGUGGUUACAGCUACCACCCCAAACAACCAGAAGCUAAGUUAGUGGCAAGGCAGCAAUAAUUACUCAUACUGAACAGCCUAUUUAAGGGAAACGUAAUGAAAUCAUAAAGAGAUCAUUCUGCAAUGGGAUAUUUUUGUUAAACAGGCAGAUUAUUCAAGGCAAGUAAGCUGUGCUGAAGCCUAGAAGACGAGUUUGAAUGGGAAGAACCUGCCUAGCAAUUCAUUUUGUGCACACUUUAACCAUAGGAUGGCAGAACAAAGGCUCAUGUUUAUAGUGAGAGCAUAUUAUGAAGCCCUUAACAAAUGAUAUGUGGUUUAUAAAGCUGGCAUGAACCAGUUCUGUACCAAAAGUCACGGUCCAGCUCUUCCUUCCAUCUCUAAUUUCUUGUUCUCACCUUGUGCCAGUUUCUCCUCUGGAACAGCAAAUGGCCAUGUGGCUUCACGGUGAACUAAAUCAGAGUGCAAAUAAAUCCAGGAAAGAAGGCAACAACUCUCAUUGUUUCCCUGCUGUAGUUCAUGGUGGGGCCACGUAAAAGCCUGUGCUGACAGAUGGGAGAAGGAAGCUGGGAAGAAAUCCCAAGUGAAAUAGGAAGUUAUUUAAGUGAUAUAGAGAUUGUACACAAGCCGUACAGGACUGUAUUUAUGCUCUGGGAAAACAGUUACUUCUACAGGAUCUGCAGAGGAACUGGAGCAACCAGAAGUCACAGCUCAACCUUGAGCUCAGGCGUUUCACCAGCUGUGGAAUGGUUUUGGUUUAAGCUGGUGAUGACCACAACAAGUAGGAAAUUGGAUUCAAGAAUUUAAGGCGUUUGAUUUGAAAACAAACAAAAAAAAGUGCUGCAAGAGAAAAAAAGAAUAUCCUUGCUGUGUUUGCUGGAGCCAUAAACCAAGAUAUCAGGCUGUCCUUCAACCCACCAAAUAGCAGAAGAAAGUUGCAUGUCAUUCCCAUUGAGCCCAUCAAAUAUUUUAUGCCCUCUCAGCCCACCAUUCAUGAAAAGUGAAAGUUCUUCUCCUCUUUCAAGCAAAAGAUAAAUGAAUUGGAAAUUAUAUCACAGAUUUUUUAUGCCUUAUCAGGAAACUGCUGUUAUCCAGCAUAUGUAGGAGUGAAAGGAUGUGUGAUCCUGUCAUCUGUGACAUGAAAAGACUACUACAAACUGGAGAUGCUACAGAGUUUGAGAAAGCCACCACUGCAGCUGGGGGUGACAAGAGCAUCAAGAAGCAACAAGAAAAAUCAGAGGUGAUACCAACCGGGUCACUGCAGGUUUUUUAAAAUAGCAGCAGAUGUCUGCUCAGCUUUUAUCAGACUUUCCAAACCACCUGGAAGUGCCUAG
rnacentral:lncRNA from 1 species